rnacentral:rRNA from 1 species
UACGUAGGGGGCAAGCGUUGUCCGGAAUCAUUGGGCGUAAAGAGCGUGUAGGCGGCCCGAUAAGUCCGCUGUGAAAGUCCAGGGCUCAACCCUGGAAUGCCAGUGGAAACUGUCGGGCUGGAGUCCGGAAGAGGCGAGUGGAAUUCCUGGUGUAGCGGUGAAAUGCGCAGAUAUCAGGAGGAACACCAAUGGCGAAGGCAGCUCGCUGGAACGGUACUGACGCUGAGGCGCGAAAGCGUGGGGAGCGAACAGG